GGCCGUCUCGCGGACCGGCACGGAGCGCGCGGCGUCUACACGGCGACCCUGGUCGUCCAGGCGGUGGCCACGGCGGGUUUCGUCCUCGCGGACGGCUUC
rnacentral:tRNA from 1 species